rnacentral:rRNA from 1 species
GAUGAACGCUGGCGGCGUGCCUAAUACAUGCAAGUCGAGCGAACAGACGAGGAGCUUGCUCCUCUGACGUUAGCGGCGGACGGGUGAGUAACACGUGGAUAACCUACCUAUAAGACUGGGAUAACUUCGGGAAACCGGAGCUAAUACCGGAUAAUAUAUUGAACCGCAUGGUUCAAUAGUGAAAUACGGUUUUGCUGUCACUUAUAGAUGGAUCCGCGCCGCAUUAGCUAGUUGGUAAGGUAACGGCUUACCAAGGCAACGAUGCGUAGCCGACCUGAGAGGGUGAUCGGCCACACUGGAACUGGGACACGGUCCAGACUCCUACGGGAGGCAGCAGUAGGGAAUCUUCCGCAAUGGGCGAAAGCCUGACGGAGCAACGCCGCGUGAGUGAUGAAGGUCUUCGGAUCGUAAAGCUCUGUUAUUAGGGAAGAACAGAUGUGUAAGUAACUAUGCACGUCUUGACGGUACCUAAUCAGAAAGCCACGGCUAACUACGUG